CAUUAUACAGCGAAACUGCGAAUGGCUCAUUAAAUCAGUUAUCGUUUAUUUGAUAGUACCUUACUACUUGGAUAACCGUGGUAAUUCUAGAGCUAAUACAUGCUAAAAACCCCGACUCACGAAGGGGUGUAUUUAUUAGAUUAAAAACCAAUGCCCUUCGGGGCUCUUUGGUGAUUCAUAAUAACUUUUCGAAUCGCAUGGCCUUGCGCCGGCGAUGGUUCAUUCAAAUUUCUGCCCUAUCAACUUUCGAUGGCAGGGUCUUGGCCUGCCAUGGUUACAACGGGUAACGGAGGGUUAGGGCUCGACCCCGGAGAAGGAGCCUGAGAAACGGCUACUACAUCCAAGGAAGGCAGCAGGCGCGCAAAUUACCCAAUCCCGAUUCGGGGAGGUAGUGACAAUAAAUACUGAUACAGGGCUCUUUUGGGUCUUGUAAUUGGAAUGAGUACAAUUUAAAUCCCUUAACGAGGAACAAUUGGAGGGCAAGUCUGGUGCCAGCAGCCGCGGUAAUUCCAGCUCCAAUAGCGUAUAUUAAAGUUGUUGCAGUUAAAAAGCUCGUAGUUGAACCUUGGGCCUGGCUGGCCGGUCCGCCUCACCGCGUGCACUGGUUCGGCCGGGCCUUUCCCUCUGGGGAACCUCAUGGUCUUCACUGAUCGUGAUGGGGAACCAGGACUUUUACUGUGAAAAAAUUAGAGUGUUCAAAGCAGGCCUAUGCUCGAAUACAUUAGCAUGGAAUAAUAAAAUAGGACGUGUGGUUCUAUUUUGUUGGUUUCUAGGACCGCCGUAAUGAUUAAUAGGGACAGUCGGGGGCAUCAGUAUUCAAUUGUCAGAGGUGAAAUUCUUGGAUUUAUUGAAGACUAACUACUGCGAAAGCAUUUGCCAAGGAUGUUUUCAUUAAUCAGGAACGAAAGUUAGGGGAUCGAAGACGAUCAGAUACCGUCGUAGUCUUAACCAUAAACUAUGCCGACUAGGGAUCGGACGGUGUUACUUAUUGACCCGUUCGGCACCUUACGAGAAAUCAAAGUCUUU
rnacentral:rRNA from 1 species